CUCCGGACACACGCGCACAGACGCGCCCUGAGAGGAGCAGCAGAGGGCGCAGGCGCACGGGCAACCGCCCAGCCCAGCCCAGCCCAGCCGGAAGGCAGCGAGCCGCCCGGCUGCCCAUCACCUGAGAGGCGGGGGAACGCGAGGAGCCAGGGGGAGCAGGUCUCCAGAAAAGUCAGCUGCUGAGGUAGAGAGCCCACUCGGAAUAAGGACAUUGUUUCUGUUCGUUUAUUCUGUGCCGUGGACACCCACCAUGUCUCAGAAACCAUAGUAGGUUCUGGGGACCAAAGAUGAACAGGACAGAUCCCUGGACUGAGGAAACCUCUGUCUUGUGGAAGACAUACCCCUGCUGGAAUGUUAAACGUCUGGCACUGCCUGAAGCCUUGCUCCGUGGCACAUGGAAAAUUCCAACCUGCAGUGGUAGAGAAUGAGGACAUGCACAGUGAGGAGUGAUGGAGGGAGAGAAAGAUAGUCUUGAUGGUAACAGCUGAGUCUCUCCUUUGAGUUAUCCCUGAGGUGGUCUCUGACGUUGCUUAAGACCCAGGAAACAUGCCCCUUGGCUGGUCUACAACAUUUCAUAGAAUAAAAA